CCCCUUAGGAAAAAACGCCCCUGUCUCCAAUGGGCCGAUGGGGAGGGUUUUUGCUUUGAGACUGGCCUGGUUUAUAGAGGUGAGGGUGGCAGGCUCCAGAGAGGAGGGAGAGAAAAAGCAUUUCAAGAACAGGAAGACUGGGCGCUUUGUGGGGCGAAGUGAGCGGGUCGGCAGAGCCCAGCGGGGCUGAGCACCGGCAGCAGCUGCUUUCAGAAACGAGCUGCAGCUCUGGGACAACGUUGUUGUUUUGGGCCAUCCACCAUCAAGCAAUGUUCCUGCCACCCUCAUGUGUGGGGAAAACUUCUCCAACCGGCCUGAAACUUCUCUGACGGGUGUGACUGCAAAGGGAGCACAUGGGACCUCGAACAGCAAGCCCUUGGCAGCUGCGAAGCAGGUCUGCCGGGCUGGAUAAAGCUCCUCCUGAUUUGGCCAAGGGGUGGCAUAAUGUGCUAAGUUACCAUAAGGAUCCAGCCCUUCACUGCCUCUUUGACAAUGAUGGCCAGCAGUGGGAGGAACGGAGCUUGGAGUUUCAGCCUGCUGCUCUGAAGAAGGUAAAGUUUUCUGAGAAAACAAACCGCGUGGGAAUCAUAUUUGCCCUGAAAUGCUUCUCUCUGCCUUUCCUUGAGCUGCAGUGCUUAAGAACGGACAGCUGCACCAAACCAGUUUCCUGCCCUCAAACCCCUGAAUAUUCUGGUGCGGAGACACAGAAUAGGGGAUGCUCGUGCCCAGCUAAUGGUGACAUGGAGGACUGUUGAGAAGCUCUUUCUUUUUCUGGUCUGUCAGAGUCUGUAGCGAAUUAGAAAGGAAUAGUUUUUACCUAGUUUGGCUGGGCUGGGUGAAUUUGAGCACAUUGACAGUAGGUUGAGAUAAGGAGCUUGUAUGGGGCAACGUUGGGCUUAAGCUGAUGAUGUAGGGGGAGGAUAAACAGAUAAAGGAGGGUGGGGUGAAGCUGUAUGAGGAUGUAAUGCAUGGCCGACUCAUUAUGGAUAUGUUGCCAGCGCAGGCGUCACAACAAACGGAGGAGGAAUAACUGGGUUACUCGGAAAUAAAUGGUCUACGGGAAAUGGAGCA
rnacentral:lncRNA from 1 species